rnacentral:lncRNA from 1 species
UGCGCGCUGGGGAUCCGUUCCAUGAUGCGGCGAGCAGGGGCCACUGUGCGCUCCUGUCUGCACUUAGUAGAGUCUGAGAAAGGGCUGCCCUGGAAGGGAGGAUCCGAGGGUCUCAAGAGCUCAAGCUUCUACUUCCUGUUUAUGUUUCACAAGCGUCAAACCCAUUUACCAACCCAGAUUGAGCUCCUCAGUCAAGGACAUGGCCAUAUAUACAGCCCAGCCUGCCCUUGAGCUAACUAUGCUAGAAGAAGAUGAUGUUGAACUUCAGAUCUUCCUGUGUGCUGGGAACCACAGGUUUGCUCUGAAGACCAGAAGAGCCAAGAGUUGGGAAAGCAAUAGACCUCUUGUGAAGAUUCUCUUACCACGAGUUCAAGAAACCUGCAGCUUGUACAGCUUUUGCACCUUGGGUUAACCAUUUAAAGGCUGUAUUUUGCUCUCACAGAAAGUACUGGGAAGUCUGCUACCCUUAGUAAUUUGCUGCCCUAGGCAACUGCUUGUUUGGGCUCAGUUCUCCCAGCUGGAGUCAUUGUUCCAACUUAUUUGUACGGGAGAUUGAACCCAGGGCUCUGUGUGUGUUUGACAAAUGGCUGGCGGCUCAACUCUCCUGACUCUUUUUCCACCCUGAAUCUCCAGAAAGGAACCAGAACUCUCAGCUCGAGCAGAAGAGUCAGCCAGUGUCAUCACCCACUCCUACCUGCCAGUUCUCCUUGACAAGCGAAGGGUGGCCCUUUCUACAAGAGCCCUAGCCUGCACCACUGUGAAACAGCAGAGGGUCCUAUGACGAAUGGAUGGCCAUUGUUGAUAAAUGAAGAUAUGACGGCAGUAAGGCAGUGGCGGUGAGGCAGCUUUAGAGGCGCUAACACAGAGCCCAUGACGAGCAAGAGUGGACUGACGUGAACAACAUUCCCCAGCCAAGCAGCAAAGGCAGCAAUUAAAGCUAUGUUUUAAAUGAGUGUCACUGCCUGUGGCACAGUCUCUCCUUUUGGAAAAGAGCAUGCAUACCUCGAGACUAGAGCCAAGUCUCCUGCAUUCUUCCCUGAUUCCUGCCUCAAACAAACCUGAAGUCCAAGGUUGUGCGGGCUUAUUUGCUUUCAACUUGAUACAAGCUAGAGUUAUUUGGGAAGAGAGAAUCUCAACAAAGAAGAAGCCCCCCCCCCCCCACCAUCAGAUUGGCCUGUGGCAAUAGAAACCCUACGUCAAAGGUACACUCUGAGCUCAAGAAUGUCCCUGACUGUCUAUGCUGGCUUCCGCAGCAAACAUUCGCCUGGAUCAAUACAUGCGAGCUGUCUUUUGCAGAUGCGUACAUUCUCAGUCAUCCUCUGUUAAUGAUGAAACCCUGGAGUCCUCUUCUUGACCUGAGUUUUCUAGCACUGAAUAUCGCCCCAGAGACACGAACAAAUUGAAAGAGCCCCGUGGUGAAAGGAGAGAAACAACUCCUCUGCAGUUCUUGGACUUCCACAUGCCUGCUGUGACUUGCUCAGAGCCUGCUAUUAUCUAAGUAGCAUCAAACUUCCUGCUAACACUCCCAAGUGUGGGGAUUAUAGAUGUGCACCACCACAUCUGGUUAUGUUGUGCUGAUGACCAAAGAAGGCUUUGUGCAUCCUAGACACUCUGCCAACUGAGGUACCUCCUCAUCUCUCCCAUCAGGAGUGUAUGUGUGCAGGCACACAUGUGAAUGGAUGCUGUAGUGAGGGCAUGGAUUUUAGAGGACAAGUGUUGGGAAAUUGGGCCUCUCCUUCCAUCAUGUGUUGGGGAUUUUUGAGGCGUGCAGGCAGGAAAAGCACUUUUACCUGCUGGGCUGACUCUCUGGCCCUUCUUAUCAAGUUUCGAAUUCCUAGCAUGAAAUUCACACAUAGAGUUUGGAACCUGGGUGACGCAGGGUUUUGCAUUGCAGAUAUGACUGGUCUAAUCCCGCUCCUCCACAGUUCUAGCUGUAUGAGACGGCCCUCCUUUCUUAAGCGGUAGCUUGCACUCCAUUUUCUUGGAUAUGGACAGACCAAUGACAGGGCAGAAAGGAGAUCUUAUGAUUUGUCAAGUGCAAGUCAUAGCAAUUAGUGUGGUUUCUCUUGAGUAUUGCCAGGGCUCCUGGAGAUGUCCUAUGGAAAGCUCUCCCAGUAGCUCUGCCAUCCUAGCCCGACCUGUUUUAGUUUUCUUUCCCCCAACUCCCAACCUCCAGACAUGAGGCAGACAGCCUUCAAAUUAUUCCACCCUCCAGUCUUUGAGCCAGCCCCAGCUGAUGCUGCGUGGAGGGCAGGACCACCUGUCUCCAUGGAGCCCGGCCCAGAUUGCAAAGUACUUGGGAAAAGAAGCACGAUGCCUGUAGUCUUGAUAUCCAAGGAUUCUGAGGGCAUGGAUUCAACCAAGAACACAUGAAAGAUACCUGCGAAAGAUGUGUCUGUACUGAACUCGUGGAUAUGUAUUGUCAUUCUUCCUCAAAUAAUAAAAUAUAACUAU